GAUGAACGCUGGCGGCGUGCCUAAUACAUGCAAUUCGACCGACAAGACGAGGGGUUUGUUCCUUUGCGUUUGGGGGCGGAGGGUGGGGUACCCGUGGGAAACCUUCCUUUUCGACUUGGGAAACUUUGGGAAACCGGGGGUAAAUCCGGGUUAUAUUUUUAAACCCCUGGUUUCAUUGUGAAAGGAGGGUUUGCUGGUAAUUUUUGGUUGAUCCGCGGCGCAUUAGCUAGUUGGUAAGGUAACCGCUUACCAAGGGAACGAUGCGUAGCCGAACUGAGUGGCUGAUCGGCCACACUGGAACUGAGACACGGUCCAGACUCCUACGGGAGGCAGCAGUAGGGAAUCUUCCGCAAUGGGCGAAAGCCUGACGGAGCAACGCCGCGUGAGUGAUGAAGGUCUUCGGAUCGUAAAACUCUGUUUUUAGGGAAGAACAAAUGUGUAAGUAACUAUGCACGUCUUGACGGUACCUAAUCAGAAAGCCACGGCUAACUACGUG
rnacentral:rRNA from 1 species